CAGAUUCAGAUUGCGCAGCGUGGAGUCUUUGAACUCCACCCAGAGCGAAAAGUUCCCAUUGGUGGCCAGGACGUGCGCGUCGAAAAGAGCUUUCCGAAUGGGGUCAUAGGCGCAAUUCUGAUAACUGUUGCAUAAGUUGUGGCCAAAUUACCAAAAAUAUGUCCCCAAAAAAAUAAUAAUAUUAAUAAACUUUGAGCACUCCGCGUAGCGUGGAGUGUUUUGGCCCAACGCUUCACGCUAUGCGG
rnacentral:lncRNA from 1 species